rnacentral:rRNA from 1 species
CCAACAAAGAGAGGCGAGACCGCGAGGUGGAGCAAAUCUCAAAAAGCCGUCCCAGUUCGGAUCGCAGGCUGCAACCCGCCUGCGUGAAGUUGGAAUCGCUAGUAAUCGCGGAUCAGCAUGCCGCGGUGAAUACGUUCCCGGGCCUUGUACACACCGCCCGUCACACCAUGAGAGUCGGGAACACCCGAAGUCCGUAGCCUAACCGCAAGGGGGGCGCGGCCGAAGGUGGGUUCGAUAAUUGGGGUGAAGUCGUAACAAGGUAAC